AUAAUACUCCCUCCGUCCGAGAAAACUUGUCCCAAGCUUGUUCCUCAAAUGGAUGUAUCUACCACUAACUUGAUGCUACAUACAUUCAUUUGAGGGACAAGUUUUUCCGGAUGGAGGGAGUACUUU
rnacentral:pre_miRNA from 1 species